GAUGAACGCUGGCGGCGUGCCUAAUACAUGCAAGUCGAGCGAACAGACGAGGAGCUUGCUCCUCUGACGUUAGCGGCGGACGGGUGAGUAACACGUGGAUAACCUACCUAUAAGACUGGGAUAACUUCGGGAAACCGGAGCUAAUACCGGAUAAUAUAUUGAACCGCAUGGUUCAAUAGUGAAAGACGGUUUUGCUGUCACUUAUAGAUGGAUCCGCGCCGCAUUAGCUAGUUGGUAAGGUAACGGCUUACCAAGGCAACGAUGCGUAGCCGACCUGAGAGGGUGAUCGGCCACACUGGAACUGAGACACGGUCCAGAGUCCUACGGGAGGCAGCAGUAGGGAAUCUUCCGCAAUGGGCGAAAGCCUGACGGAGCAACGCCGAGUGAGUGAUGAAGGUCUUCGGAUCGUAAAACUCUGUUAUUAGGGAAGAACAAAUGUGUAAGUAACUAUGCACGUCUUGACGGUACCUAAUCAGAAAGCCACGGCUAACUACGUG
rnacentral:rRNA from 1 species